rnacentral:rRNA from 1 species
AGCGAACGCUGGCGGCAGGCCUAACACAUGCAAGUCGAAUGGAUCCUUCGGGAUUAGUGGCGGACGGGUGAGUAACACGUGGGAACGUGCCCUUUGGUUCGGAACAACUCAGGGAAACUUGAGCUAAUACCGGAUGUGCCCUUCGGGGGAAAGAUUUAUCGCCAUUGGAGCGGCCCGCGUCUGAUUAGCUAGUUGGUGAGGUAAAGGCUCACCAAGGCGACGAUCAGUAGCUGGUCUGAGAGGAUGAUCAGCCACAUUGGGACUGAGACACGGCCCAAACUCCUACGGGAGGCAGCAGUGGGGAAUCUUGCGCAAUGGGCGAAAGCCUGACGCAGCCAUGCCGCGUGAAUGAUGAAGGUCUUAGGAUUGUAAAAUUCUUUCACCGGGGACGAUAAUGACGGUACCCGGAGAAGAAGCCCCGGCUAACUUUGUGCCAGCCGCCGCGGUAAAAC